UGGGGAAUAUUGGACAAUGGGCGAAAGCCUGAUCCAGCCAUGCCGCGUGAGUGAUGAAGGCCUUAGGGUUGUAAAACUCUUUCGCUUGGGAAGAUAAUGACGGUACCAAGUAAAGAAGCCCCGGCUAAUUUCGUGCCAGCAGCCGCGGUAAUACGAAAGGGGCUAGCGUUGUUCGGAAUUACUGGGCGUAAAGCGCGCGUAGGCGGCUUGCCAAGUUGGGGGUGAAAUCCCGGGGCUCAACCCCGGAACUGCCUCCAAAACUGGUAGGCUAGAGGUUGUGAGAGGAUAGUGGAAUUCCGAGUGUAGAGGUGAAAUUCGUAGAUAUUCGGAAGAACACCAGUGGCGAAGGCGACUGUCUGGCACAUACCUGACGCUGAGGUGCGAAAGCGUGGGGAGCGAACAGGAUUAGAUACCCCCGUAGUCC
rnacentral:rRNA from 1 species